rnacentral:rRNA from 1 species
GUCCGUGACUACGAGACGACGCUGGCGGCGUGCCUAAUACAUGCAAGUCGAGCGGAGUUCAUCGGGAGCUUGCUCCUGAUGAACUUAGCGGCGGACGGGUGAGGUAACACGUAGGCAACCUGCCCGUAAGACUGGGAUAACUACCGGAAACGGUAGCUAAUACCGGAUACGCAAGUCUCUCGCAUGAGGGACUUGGGAAAGGCGGAGCAAUCUGUCACUUACGGAUGGGCCUGCGGCGCAUUAGCUAGUUGGUGGGGUAACGGCUCACCAAGGCGACGAUGCGUAGCCGACCUGAGAGGGUGAACGGCCACACUGGGACUGAGACACGGCCCAGACUCCUACGGGAGGCAGCAGUAGGGAAUCUUCCGCAAUGGACGAAAGUCUGACGGAGCAACGCCGCGUGAGUGAUGAAGGUUUUCGGAUCGUAAAGCUCUGUUGCCAGGGAAGAACGUCCGUUAGAGUAACUGCUAACGGAGUGACGGUACCUGAGAAGAAAGCCCGGCUAACUACGUG